rnacentral:rRNA from 1 species
GCAAAUUGACACCGUAACUUCGGGAGAAGGUGUGCCGCUGGCGGUUAGUGACUUCGCGUCACGAAGCUGUUGGUGGUCGCAGUGAAAUGGCGGUUGUGACUGUUUACUAAAAACACAGGACUCUGCGAAGUCGUAAGACGACGUAUAGGGUCUGAUGCCUGCCCGGUGCUGGAAGGUUAAGGGGAUAUGUCAGCGCAAGCGAAGCAUUGAACCGAAGCCCCAGUAAACGGCGGCCGUAACGAUAACGGUCCUAAGGUAGCGAAAUUCCUUGUCGGGUAAGUUCCGACCUGCACGAGGGCAUAACAACAUCCGCACUGUCUCGACCAGGGACUCAGCGAAAUUACAUUGGGGGUGAAGAUGCCCUCUACCCGCGGAAAGACGGAAAGACCCCAUGAACCUUUACUGCAACUUGGCAGUGAUUUUCGGGUUGUUCUGCGUAGGAUAGGUGGGAGGCUUUGAAGCCGGGCUUCCGGGUUCGGCAGAGCCAACGUUGAAAUACCACCCUGAAUAAUCUGGAAAUCUAACCUGCGCCCAUGAUCUGGGCGAGGGACACUGCCUGGUGGGCAGUUUGACUGGGGCGGCCGCCUCCUAAAUUGUAACGGAGGCGUGCGACGGUUCCCUCAGGCUGAUUGGAAACCAGCCGUAGAGUGCAAACGCAUAAGGGAGCUUUACUGCGAGACUGACAAGUCGACCAGUUGCGAAAGCAGGUGUUAGUGAUCCGGUGGUACCACAUGGAAGGGCCAUCGCUCAUCGGAUAAAAGGUACUCUGGAUAACAGGCUGAUCGCGCCUGAGAGUUCACAUCGGCGGCGCGGUUUGGCACCUCGAUGUCGGCUCGUCGCAUCCUGGGGCUGGAGCAGGUCCCAAGGGUUUGGCUGUUCGCCAAUUAAAGCGGUACGCGAGCUGGGUUUAAAACGUCGUGAGACAGUUUGGUCCCUAUCUUCCGUGGGCGCAGGACACUUGAGAGGAGCUAUCCAUAGUACGAGAGGACCUGGAUGGACGAACCUCUGGUGCUCCGGUUGUCACGCCAGUGGCAUAGCCGGGUAGCCAUGUUCGGAACAGAUAACCGCUGAAGGCAUAUAAGCGGGAAGCUGGCCUCAAGACUAGGUGUCCCUGACGCAAGUCACUAAAGGCCCCUCGAAGACUACGAGGUUGAUAGGCUCGGUGUGGAAGCACAGCGAUGUGCGGAGCUAACGAGUACUAAUAGGCCGUGCGGCUUGACCCC